AUUUUUCAAUUAACAGUUUGCAUGCAAUAUUAUUCUGUAUCAGUUUCAGGUUUACAGCAUAGUGCUUA